rnacentral:rRNA from 1 species
AGUGAAGCGGGAUGAGCUCAAAUUUAAAAUCUGGCUGGUUUACUAGUCCGAAUUGUAGUUUAUAGAAGCGUUUUCGGUGGCAGCCUGGGUAUAAAUCCUUUGGAAUAGGGUAUCAUAGAGGGUGAGAAUCCCGUCUUUGACUCAGUGCAUGCUACUAUGUGAUACGUUUUCAAAGAGUCGAGUUGUUUGGGAAUGCAGCUCAAAAUGGGAGGUAAAUUUCUUCUAAAGCUAAAUACCGGCGAGAGACCGAUAGCGAACAAGUACCGUGAGGGAAAGAUGAAAAGAACUUUGAAAAGAGAGUUAAACAGUGCGUGAAAUUGUUGAAAGGGAAACGUUUGACACCAGUUAUGCGGGUGGAAAAUCAGUCUUUUGCAAUGGCGAGCUGUGGGCGUUCAGACCGCAAGGCUGGCGUUUGCUGCAUCGUUAUUGUAAGUGAUGCACUUUUUCAUUUGCAGGUCAACAUCAGUUUGCUUCGCUGGACAAAACCCCAAGGGAAGGUGGCAGCUUAGGCUGUGUUAUAGCCCUGGGGCGAUACAGUGGGGUGGACUGAGGUUUUCGCAGUGUGUGCUCUCGGGCAAGGCCGACUGGGUGCUAUGGGAUCGUUUGGCGUACAAUGCAUGCAUUUUGCGUCUUGUCUUUUUCAUACUCGCUCAACUCGGCUCUUCCACGCUUAGGAUGUUGACUUAAUGGUUUUAAACGACC